GUGGGGUCUUGCCCGAAUUAAAGAUGGCCGCAGUCAGCUCUGCCCCGCGCAAUUUCACGUCAAGUUUUGGAGCUGCGGGAGCCGGCCAGUUGGCCUCAGCGCCUCCUUACGGAAUUGGCGUAAGGCAAAGAGGCGCGGCUGGAAGAACCAGACUGAGAAAGUGCCACAGGGCGGGGGCCGCAUCCGCCCCUCGGCUUCUGGUUACUGACCCGACGGCUUUGUGAGUGAAAGUGAAGAGACACUUCGAGGAGGUCCUGGAACCAAUCCCCUCUGAUACUGAGAGACAACUAUUACACAAGAGAAAUAUUCUACCAUUCACAAAAUCUCGUUUAAGUGUUGUGAAAUACAAACACCAGGGAAUCAAGAACUUUAGAAAAUUGUGGCUGUGUUCCCAUAUGUGGUACAAAGAACCAGUGAGUCCCAUUUGUUGUGGUUCCUGCAUUCGAUGACUCCAGAUGUGCCACCACCGAGCUAGUCUUAUGACAACCUAGAAGGCAAAUUGGGAUGGCCCUAUAUUUGUCACUGAGAGCAGAAGGGUUGAGAACUUAGAUCCUGACAGGAGGCCCACCUUUAUUGGAGAAAUGGCUCUGCAACUUAGUAUCAUCUGAAAUACCCGGAGGGACUUCUCUUGUGGAUGAGAGGGGUACAAACGCUUUGCUUGUGGCAUCAGCACAAUCUCCAUGGCAGAGACAUCUCACUGGGCACCUUCCGUGCAAGUCACCCCUCCCUGCUUCCUUGUCCUUUUGAUAUCACCUGUUGGAAUGUGACUCUUAGAAUCCAUAGGCCAAAAGGCUUGCUGCUCUCUCUUCAAGAUUCAAAACAAAUCUUCAAAACUGUGCCCAGAAAAAACAUUAUAGUAAUAAAAGGAAGAUAACAGAAUGAGAAGGAGGCAGAGAGAGAAGAAAGGGGGAAGAAUAUUAAGGAUGGGGUUUAAGAAGAUUAGGGAAAAUGAUGAUGAUGGUAGUAGAUGGAUGGUUGAGAAAGAUGCAGAAAAGAAAACAAAUCUGAGAUCUUCCUUUGCCAGCUAUGCAUGUGUGGAUUCGGGUCACAAUAGGACACUAAUGAGAAUCCUUAUCCAGAGUUGGUUUCAUGUCAGGUGCUAAGGUAAGGACAUCACAUGCAUCAUCUCUCACCUGGAUCAUGGUAGUCGUUUCUUAAUUGGUUUCCUUGUCUCCACCCUUACCCUCCUUAAGUGUAUUCUCAACCCAGCAGCCAGAGAGAUUCUAUUAAAACACGUGUCAUGCCGUGCCACCCUUGUGCUCAAAACCCUUCAGUCUCCUACUCUCUGACCUCAUUUUCCUCCACUGUGCUCCACCUUCGGUUGACUCCAGCCAUACUCACUGUUCCUCAAACAUUCAGGCUUGCUUCUGCCUCAGGGCCUCUGUGCAGACUGUUCCCCCUGCCUGGAAGGCUGUCCCCCUGGUGCCUACCUGUCACUUUCAUGUCCAUAGAGUCACCUUAUCACUCAGGCUCUUGGUCACUCCAUCUAAAAUGAAAGCUCUCCCCAAUGCUGCCUAGCUCUUUCCUUGUAACAUGAUAUAUAAUUAUAUAUAAUUAAAUAUAUACAUGAUAUCUAUUUUUUUUUUUGUCUAUCUUUUUCCUCUGGAAUGUAAGCUCUAGGGCAAAGAUUUUGUUUGCUCACUGCUGUAUCCCCUGUUCAAGGAUAGUGCCUGGCACAUAGUAAGAGUAUACUAAAUAUUUGUUCAACAAAUUACUUCAUGAGGUAAGGAGGUAGGUGCUGUUUUUUUUUUUUUUUUUUUUGAGACAGAGUUUUGCUCUUGUCACCCAGACUAGAGCGCAGUGGCGCAAUCUUGGCUCACUGCAACCUCUGCCUCCUGGGUUCAGCUAUUCUCCUGCUUCAGCCUCCCGAGUAGCUGGGAUUACAGGUGCCCGCCACCACCCCCGGCUAAUUUUUGUAUUUUUAGUAGAGAUGAGUUUUCACCAUGUUGGCCAGGCUGAUCUCGAACUCCUGACCUCAGGUGAUCUACCUGCCUCGGCCUCCCAAAGUGCUGAGAUUACAGGCGCGAGCCACCACGCCCGGCUGGUGCUAUUAUUAAGCACAUUUUAUAGAUGAUAAAAUUUGGAUUUACAGGUGUAAAGUAACUUGCCCAAGAUCGUAUGGUUAAGUGAAAGAGCAAAUGUUGAACCCAGCCAUGGCUGUUUUUUCUUUUUUCUUUUUUUUUUUCUGAUGGAGUUUUGCUCUGUCUCCCAGGCUAGAGUGCAGUGGCGCGAUCUUGGCUCACUGCAAUCUCUGCCUCUCAGGUUUCAAGCGAUUCUCCUGCCUCAGCCUCCUGAGUAACUGGGAUUACAGGCGUGUGCCACCAUGCCUGGCUAAUUUUUGUAUUUUUUUUAGUAGAGAUGGGAUUUCACCAUGUUGGUCAGGCUGGACUCGAGCUCCUGACCUCAUGAUCUGCCCACCUCAGCCUCCCAAAGUGCUGGGAUUACAUGCAUGAACCACUGCGCCCGGCUAAACCAUGGCUGUUUUUAAAGCCUGUGCUCAUAAACACCUCACUGUCACAUGGUCUUCCUCUUGCUACAAGCAGCUGAGCUUAGUAUAAGAAAAUAGCAUUUCUCACACCAGUCUUUCUUUAUGGUUAACCAGACCACUAGACCUUCAGACGGCCUUCGUGGGUUGCAGGUUGAGUGUUUGUUGACAGAAAGGGAUAAAGAACAAAGUCAUAAUGCAUGUGAUAUAUGGGGAAGUGAAAGAACAACUUUAAGUCCAUUUGGUUAAGAAUAGGAAUAUGAACUUAUGAGGCCAACCCCACCUGGGGUUUCUGGCGUGGGAAGGGGCUGCCUCAUCAGUGCAGGGUCACCCAUAAGCAGGCAUGGGCACUGGCAGAGCAGGGGCACCAAAAGAAUCCCAGUACCAUUACAUGGGUGAUGUUGGCUAUUUGAUAUUUUGAAAAACAUCUAAAAUGUGUCAUUGUAGGAAAAACCAGAACUUUGCUGGACUUCUUUACAGGCAUGUGCAUGAUGGCAUUGUUUCCUACAUUAAAUUACGUAUGGAAGCACCAUCAACUUUGCAGUGCCCAGAGUCUCUGAAGAUCUUAAUCUGGCCCUGCCGAUCAUGGUUGAUGGGGCAGUGAACUCAUUUCAUCUAUCAUAUACUUUCAAAUAUGUGUGUGUGUGUGUGGGUGGGUGGGGGGUUCCCAUUAUGUAAUAAGAGGUAAAUGGGAUAAGAACAGUUUCUGUGUAAAUCCUUGAGGAAUAAUAGUGGUCUUUGGGGAAGGUUGGUCUAAUUCAGUUAUUAACAUUGGGGUUAGUGUUCUGAAAAGCUCCUAUUCCUCCUUCAACACUUUCCCUGCGGUUACCUUUGUGAAGCUUUCUUUUCCCAGCUCCCUGCUCUUGCUUCCCCCAGCAAUUAUCAACUCCUCUUCUGUGCCAUAGGUAUUAUAUUUAUCACAUUGCAUCAUGCUCCCUUUUAUUCACUUCUGAUUCCCUGUGAGGCUCAGAGCUCCUGGAAAUAUGUCUCUUGUUCAUUAUCUUAUCUCAUUCAUCUUUGUAUCUAGCACAGUCCCUGAGACCUGCUGGAGGCUCUGAGAUUAUGCCACAGACAGUUUAAAACCAGACUCUGGAGGCUAGGGGAGUUUCUAAGAAAAAGAUGUCCUUUGGUGACUCCGCUUUUAAGACAUGUCAGGUGUCUAACACUGGCCCCCCAGCAGGACAGAUGAGCUUGAUUGCCUCUAGAGCUUCUCAUUUCUCCUCACAGCUUUUCUGCUAGGCUGCUCGGUGACUCACAGCAGGAAGAGGAGGCAUUGGUGCUAAACUGUCCCCUAACACCUCCUCCACCAUGCCCCAAAAAACCAAAAAUGAC
rnacentral:lncRNA from 1 species